rnacentral:rRNA from 1 species
CCUACGGGUGGCAGCAGUGAGGAAUAUUGGUCAAUGGGCGCGAGCCUGAACCAGUCAAGUCGCGUGAAGGAUGACUGCCCUACGGGUUGUAAACUUCUUUUAUAAAGGAAUAAAGUGAGGCACGUGUGCAUUUUUGCACGUACUUUAUGAAUAAGGAUCGGCUAACUCUGUGCCAGCAGCCGCGGUAAUACGGAGGAUCCGAGCGUUAUCCGGCUUUAGUGGGUGUAAAGGGAGCGUAGAUGGGUUGUUAAGGCCGUUGUGAAAGUUUGCGGCUCAACCGUGAAAUUGCCAUUGAUACUGGCAGCCUUGAGUACAGUUGAGGUAGGCGGAAUUCGUGGUGUAGCGGUGAAAUGCUUAGAUAUCACGAAGAACUCCGAUUGCGAAGGCAGCCUACUAGACAGCCACUGACGUUGAUGCUCGAAAGUGUGGGUAUCAAACAGGAUUAGAUACCCGAGUAGUC